CGGCCGACAUCGUUUCCUUGACGUCGGCCGGUUGUUUCUCUUCUGCUUUCUAGUUUCAAUUCCCCUGUUCUAGUUAUAAACCAUUAAUAAUUUGGCCAAUGUUUUCCACAAAUUCUUUGGCUCUCUUUGUUCAAAUCUUCAUAAUCUUCCUCUCCUUUGGGAUGAGUAUCAAUCCGACCACAAUCCGGCGAGUUUUUCGGUGGUGUGUCGAUGCCUUUCCGCUGAAUAUCUAUUUAAGUGAGUCUCUUUGUUCUUUGAUUGUAAUGGACUCUCAUCUACAUCGUCGAUUCGUUUUCGACAUGAAUUUCUUUUUGAGAGAU